rfam:Burkholderia glumae BGR1 chromosome 1, complete sequence.
GGUCAAGCGAACAAGUGCAUGUGGUGGAUGCCUUGGCGAUCACAGGCGAUGAAGGACGCGGUAGCCUGCGAAAAGCUACGGGGAGCUGGCAAACGAGCUUUGAUCCGUAGAUGUCCGAAUGGGGAAACCCACUCCUUUUGGAGUAUCCAUGACUGAAUACAUAGGUCAUGUGAAGCGAACGCGGUGAACUGAAACAUCUAAGUAACCGCAGGAAAAGAAAUCAACCGAGAUUCCCAAAGUAGUGGCGAGCGAAAUGGGAAGAGCCUGUACUCUUUAUUUGUAUUGUUAGCCGAACGCUCUGGAAAGUGCGGCCAUAGCAGGUGAUAGCCCUGUAGGCGAAAACAGUAUGAAAGAACUAGGUGUACGACAAGUAGGGCGGGACACGUGAAAUCCUGUCUGAAGAUGGGGGGACCAUCCUCCAAGGCUAAAUACUCGUGAUCGACCGAUAGUGAACCAGUACCGUGAGGGAAAGGUGAAAAGAACCCCGGGGAGGGGAGUGAAAUAGAUCCUGAAACCGCAUGCAUACAAACAGUCGGAGCCUCGUAAGGGGUGACGGCGUACCUUUUGUAUAAUGGGUCAGCGACUUACGUUCAGUAGCAAGCUUAACCGAAUAGGGCAGGCGUAGCGAAAGCGAGUCCGAAUAGGGCGUUCAGUUGCUGGGCGUAGACCCGAAACCAAGUGAUCUAUCCAUGGCCAGGAUGAAGGUGCGGUAACACGUACUGGAGGUCCGAACCCACUAACGUUGAAAAGUUAGGGGAUGAGCUGUGGAUAGGGGUGAAAGGCUAAACAAACUUGGAAAUAGCUGGUUCUCUCCGAAACUAUUUAGGUAGUGCCUCGUGUCUCACCUUUCGGGGUAGAGCACUGUCAUGGUUGGGGGGGUCUAUUGCAGAUUACCCCGCCAUAGCAACUCCGAAUACCGAAGAGUGCAAUCACGGGAGACAGACAUCGGGUGCUAACGUCCGGUGUCAAGAGGGAACCACCCAGGACCGCCAGCUAAGGUCCCCAAAUAUGGCUAAGUGGGAAACGAAGUGGAAAGGCUAAAACAGUCAGGAGGUUGGCUUAGAAGCAGCCACCCUUUAAAGAAAGCGUAAUAGCUCACUGAUCGAGUCGUCCUGCGCGGAAGAUGUAACGGGGCUAAGCCAUAUACCGAAGCUGCGGAUGCGAGCUAGUCUCGCAUGGUAGGAGAGCGUUCCGUAAGCCUGCGAAGGUGCAUUGUAAAGUGUGCUGGAGGUAUCGGAAGUGCGAAUGCUGACAUGAGUAGCGAUAAAGGGGGUGAAAGGCCCCCUCGCCGUAAGCCCAAGGUUUCCUACGCAACGUUCAUCGGCGUAGGGUGAGUCGGCCCCUAAGGCGAGGCAGAAAUGCGUAGCUGAUGGGAAGCAGGUCAAUAUUCCUGCACCAUUGUUAAAUGCGAUGGGGGGACGGAUCGCGGAAGGUUGUCCGGGUGUUGGAAGUCCCGGUCGCUGCAUUGGAGAAGGCGCUUAGGCAAAUCCGGGCGCGGAAUUCAAGGGUGUGGCGCGAGCUUCUUCGGAAGCGAAGCAAUCGGAAGUGGUUCCAAGAAAAGCCUCUAAGCUUCAGUUUAACAGUGACCGUACCGCAAACCGACACAGGUGGGCGAGAUGAGUAUUCUAAGGCGCUUGAGAGAACUCGGGAGAAGGAACUCGGCAAAUUGGUACCGUAACUUCGGGAUAAGGUACGCCCCUGUAGCUUGACUGGCCUGCGCCAGAAGGGUGAAGGGGUUGCAAUAAACUGGUGGCUGCGACUGUUUAAUAAAAACACAGCACUCUGCAAACACGAAAGUGGACGUAUAGGGUGUGACGCCUGCCCGGUGCCGGAAGAUUAAAUGAUGGGGUGCAAGCUCUUGAUUGAAGUCCCGGUAAACGGCGGCCGUAACUAUAACGGUCCUAAGGUAGCGAAAUUCCUUGUCGGGUAAGUUCCGACCUGCACGAAUGGCGUAACGAUGGCCACACUGUCUCCUCCCGAGACUCAGCGAAGUUGAAGUGUUUGUGAUGAUGCAAUCUCCCCGCGGCUAGACGGAAAGACCCCAUGAACCUUUACUGUAGCUUUGCAUUGGACUUUGAACCGAUCUGUGUAGGAUAGGUGGGAGGCUAUGAAACCGGAACGCUAGUUUCGGUGGAGCCGUCCUUGAAAUACCACCCUGGUUUGUUUGAGGUUCUAACCUUGGCCCGUGAUCCGGGUCGGGGACAGUGCAUGGUAGGCAGUUUGACUGGGGCGGUCUCCUCCCAAAGUGUAACGGAGGAGUACGAAGGUACGCUAGGUACGGUCGGAAAUCGUGCUGAUAGUGCAAUGGCAUAAGCGUGCUUAACUGCGAGACCGACAAGUCGAGCAGGUGCGAAAGCAGGUCAUAGUGAUCCGGUGGUUCUGUAUGGAAGGGCCAUCGCUCAACGGAUAAAAGGUACUCUGGGGAUAACAGGCUGAUACCGCCCAAGAGUUCAUAUCGACGGCGGUGUUUGGCACCUCGAUGUCGGCUCAUCUCAUCCUGGGGCUGUAGCCGGUCCCAAUGGUAUGGCUGUUCGACAUUUAAAGAUGUACGUGAGCUGGGUUUAAAACGUCGUGAGACAGUUUGGUCCCUAUCUGCCGUGGGCGUUGGAUAUUUGAAGGGGGCUGCUCCUAGUACGAGAGGACCGGAGUGGACGAACCUCUGGUGUACCGGUUGUCACGCCAGUGGCAUCGCCGGGUAGCUAUGUUCGGAAGAGAUAACCGCUGAAAGCAUCUAAGCGGGAAACUCGCCUUAAGAUGAGAUAUCCCCGGGGACUUGAUCCCCUUGAAGGGUCGUUCGAGACCAGGACGUUGAUAGGUCAGGUGUGUAAGCGCAGUAAUGCGUUCAGCUAACUGAUACUAAUUGCCCGUAAGGCUUGAUCCU